ACAAUGAUUUAUCAUUCAUACUCACUGAAGUAGUCUGACAUCAUUAGAUGAAACUCAUCCGAAUGUACAAGUUAAGACAAGGUAUAUACAGAAAUUUAGUGUACAAAAAAUGAAAUGUAGGAAAUAUCGAAAUGACAAUGAUUUAUCAUUCAUACUUAUAGGACACCAGCCACCAGGCAGUGGCGAUUCUAGAGUUUAUUCAUUUUCUCUACUAUAUACGUACCCAGCAGAAAUUAAAAAGGUGCUUAUAGGAAGAGGCAAACUCGUAUAGCUAUGUAAUAGUCAGAUAAGCAACUUAUUGAAGUGAUGUGUUUAGUAGACAGCCCCAGUUAAACUUACGGAAUCCACCUGUGCAGCAAGAGAGUUAAGGGAACAGGGCACGUGUAAGAGAGAAAAUAUUUGUUUCUAACUUACGACAUCCUCUAUGAGACGAAGCCAGAGAAUAUUUAGUGAGGGAGAUUAAAAAUUGGGCAAAGUAGCGCACCACGGUUUCUUGAGCAUUUUUUGCUUCAUCGAGCCAUUACCACCACCUCACGUCAUCACAACAGGAGGGAAACGUCAGUGUUGCCUCACGCCUUCAUGACACCCCCUAUGAGAUGAAGCCUUACAAAGAAAAGUGAACGUCACUGCUGCUAAAAAAAGCCUUACAAAGAAAAGUGAACUCUACAAAGAAAAGUGAACGUCACUGCUGCUAAAAAAAGCCUUACAAAGAAAAGUGAACCCGGAUCGAAAAUAAUAAAUCAGCACCUCUUGUAACUCCAACUCCAAAUAAAAAAGCAUGCAUCGCAGGAUUGGACCGUUGUAGACAACGAACUUGAGAUGUCUCCUCCGUUCAACAGUGCUGCCAAUUGUCGCGUCCAUAGGCAGUGGAAUUAUUUCUGUAAAUAAUAUGCAUAGAAAAUACAAUGAUAUUUUAGGAAUAAUAGACACAUAUACACAGAUUUACACAUAUACGAACUUGGCCGUUAGGCAAUGGAAAUCAACAGCAUGAGGAUACCUUCAGCCAAGUGAGUAACCAGUUGCCAACCCAACCAUUAACACCACUUGAAUCAAAUUGGAAGAGAAAGAGAUCAGCGCUAAGAAGUACGAACCCAUAACUAAUUGUGCAAAAGAGGGAAGGUAGGAAGAAGGGGAAUCUGCAGCAAGGGAGAGGGAAACUAAGCUGCCCAUGUCAAAUCCACCGACCUAGAGUAGAUGCAUCAAGCUGGGAGAAGAAAUAACAACAUCAGCAAUAAUGAAUCAUGAAUUCCAUUGAGAAAGAGGGGCUC
rnacentral:lncRNA from 1 species